rnacentral:lncRNA from 1 species
UUAACGUGCGGACUAUGAUUCCGCUUGUCUAAAUAUUUGUCGAUUUCUGACGAUUAAUUACGAUCUCGGUUGUGGCGUGCUCGCUAGCUUCAAGUGAGGGGAUACUCUAUUCAGUACUGUUGUGAGAAUUGUCUUAGUGCGUUUAGUUCUGCUGCUAUAUUGACUUGCGGAACGUGAGUCCGCACGUUAUACAAGUUGUCACAAAUCUUCAGAUUUUUUAAGAUGAGUUUCGAAAAGCAACUCUAGCAUAUCUUGAAAAGCUGCAUGCGGAAUUUCUCUCUGAUUCUGAGCCAGAAGCUGAACCUGACGAUGAUGAUGCUAGUUUGGAAGGAGAUUAUGAAGAAGGACAGGACCACGAUAUACCGAGAUGGAAGAAGACAUUGAGGAGAGAAUCUUAGAAUCUCGGAAGACAGCAGCGAAGAUUGACUUAUUUCCGUUCAUUCAUGUAUCUACUUUGCGCAGCUCAAACAUUUGUUUUUUAUUUAGUCAUUGUUUAGUUUCUUAGAAAUAAUUGUUUUGUAUUUUUUUAAUUUAGGUUUUUGCGAUUUAUAGGACUCAAAAUGUGAAAAGGAUAUAUCUGUUCACUUUUAUUUUUGAAGCAUGAGUCUAAGUGCAAGUUAUAAUAAAUUUGUUUGCAAAUGUU